UCUUUAAUCGCGAGUGGAAGCAACCAGCCCUUAUUAUGCGGCGUAUAAGGUAUGUAUCCAUGUUUUUAAUUUUCUUUUUGCGGCGUUGUUGGUGUCUGGAAGACCUAGCCGCCGCCUCUUCUUAGGGUUUCAGUGAUUUCUAACUUAUGCAUUCAUCAAUACCUAUAUUCAUUUCUUGAGUGCUUCUGUGAUAUUUUUCAAGAUUUGGUGCUUUUUGAAAGAUGGGAUCCAUCACUGUCUUCUCCAAACGAUUCAACAAAUAGGUAACAAUUCUUCAAAUAUCGAUUCAUGUUUGAUAAUGUCGCUUCCUGUUUGAUGUUCUCUAUCAUAUGUUCAUCUUUAGGUUUUCCGAUUAAAUUCACGUAUUGAAGUAGAUUUUGAGCAAUUGUCAGAGGUGACGUUGUUUGCUGACACUAUUACAGUUCAACAAUUGGGAGUGAUGAUUUGGCAUACCAGAAAGGUCCUUUAAAGAGCUGAUCAUUCUUCCAAUCGAUUGCAAGCAGAUCAUUCCACUUAUUCUGCAGAUAUGUAAACUAGAUUAGACUGUUAUGUAUUUUAAAU